GUCUAGGGGGGCGCAAGAGUACGGGCCCCCCCCCCUCCACCAUGGGCCUGCUUCUGCAGUAAAAAUAAAAUGGUGUUUAAAUUUAUAGAAAAGCUAUUAUUAUAUAAUUUACAUUUACAUUUACCCUGUCCCACGAAACAUGAUAUAGUGAUUAGUUUAGAAUGCCUUUUUCCAUUAUUUGUCAAAUUGUUUGAUACCAAAUAUCAAUACAAAUAAUAUAUGAAAGUCAUAUUAUAUUGAAAUUGAUUUCAAAGUAAAAUAUAAUUAAGCAAAAGAUUUGUCUAACUAAAAAUAUCUAUGUAUUGAAUGUCAUGUUUUGCGGGACACCCUGUAUAUUACAGUAGACCCGACUCUGAAGGGAUAAAAUUUUUGAUUAUUUUUAUAUUGAUUUUAAAGUGUAAGGUUUUAUUUAAUGGUGCUAAAGGUCGUAAAGAUUAGUGCGAAUUUUAUGUGACAAAUAUUCAUUUGCUUUACCUGUUUUGUUUUAGAUUCAACCGCUAGAUGGAGUUAGAAACAAAGAAGAAAAUAGUUUGUUUAUUAGUUUUCAUUUUUCUUGCGAAAUUUGGGCUACUUAACUAUUGAUAUUUUUGUAAAAUUAUUUAAUAAAUUCCUUUAUUUUCUUUAAUUAUUUUUAGUUGAACGUCCUGUGGCUGUUGAUGGAUAUAGUUCAAUGUUAGUUAUUUUGGAUAUUACUCCGCGAGUACAAACAAAGAAAAAGUUCCAAUCGCCAUGUUUUGUUAGUAAAGUUUUUAAUUUGGAAUUAUUCACAUGCUUCAGCUUAAUUGUGGUAAGCUUCACUUCCAGCAUCUGGUCAGGGAGAUCACCCAGGACUUAAUCAAGACUGAUCAAAGGUUCCAGAGUGCUGUUAUCGGAGCUCUUCAGAAAAGGGGAAAAGAGCAAAAUUGACAAACCUACGGCAAUCCAAGCUGGACAUAAACAAACGUCUCAGCUGCAGAGAGGUUCAUCUUCAGUAUUGUAUCCUAGAUCUAAGUUUGAGAUCUGUUGUACAGGACGGAUCUUCUCUACAGGAUCUGUUGUACAGGACAGAUAUUCUCUCUAGGAUCUGUUGUACAGGACGGAUAUUCUCUCCAGGAUCUGUUCUACAGGUCUACUCUACCAAAUAUCAAUGGGUUGAUCAUUCUUAAAGAGAAUAUUUACAAGCAAAGGCCGUGGAUCCCUUGAUCUGUGGGUUUAACUUUGAGAAGAUGAUGACUUUUGUUGCAGGGUUGCACACUCUCUCUCUCCUCUUCCUGUGUACUGUACUGAGUCCUUUGCGUAGCUGAUUUCUUGACACAUCAUUACAACCUGUCAGGUGUUCGUUCCUCAGUCUUCUACCUUCCUUCUCUCUACACAGUUCCCUUCUAAGUUACCUCUAAUUAUCUGGCCCUUUCUCUCUACAACAGCCCCUACUACACUCCCCCCGCUAGAUGCGUCAGUUUCUGAUACAGACACAGGGCUGAAUAUUCAUCUACCAGGAACCAGUUUCCAGCUUGACUCUGACGUAGACGAUCCCACAGAGGGGAAGGAACGAACGAAGAAAACAUUUAUUCCACUAUUCAAGUUGCAACCUCUGUCACUUUCU